GUAGGGGUGCAAGCGUUAAUCGGAAUUACUGGGCGUAAAGCGUGCGCAGGGCGAUUUUGUAAGUCUGUCGUGAAAGCCCCGGGGCUCAACCUGGGAAUUGCGAUGGAGACUGCAAGGCUUGAAUCUGGCAGAGGGGGGUAGAAUUCCACGUGUAGCAGUGAAAUGCGUAGAGAUGUGGAGGAACACCGAUGGCGAAGGCAGCCCCCUGGGUCAAGAUUGACGCUCAUGCACGAAAGCGUGGGGAGCAAACAGGAUUAGAUACCCUGGUAGUCCACGCCCUAAACGAUGUCUACUAGUUGUCGGGUUUUAAUUAACUUGGUAACGCAGCUAACGCGUGAAGUAGACCGCCUGGGGAGUACGGUCGCAAGAUUA
rnacentral:rRNA from 1 species